rnacentral:rRNA from 1 species
UACGUAGGGUCCGAGCGUUGUCCGGAAUUAUUGGGCGUAAAGGGCUCGUAGGCGGUCUGUUGCGUCGGGAGUGAAAACUUACAGCUUAACGUGUGAGCGUGCUUCCGAUACGGGCAGACUUGAGGUAUUCAGGGGAGAACGGAAUUCCUGGUGUAGCGGUGAAAUGCGCAGAUAUCAGGAGGAACACCCGGUGGCGAAGGCGGUUCUCUGGGAAUAUCCUGACGCUGAGGAGCGAAAGUGUGGGGAGGCGAACAGG